rnacentral:guide_RNA from 1 species
AUAUAUAAAAGACAUAGAUAUAGAUUUGAAAUAUAAUGUGAUAUUUAG